rnacentral:rRNA from 1 species
AACGAACGUUGGCGGCGUGGAUUAGGCAUGCAAGUCGAGCGAGAACCGUAGCAAUACGGGGACAGCGGCGAAAGGGACAGUAAUGUGUAGGUACCUACCCCCGGGUUCGGGAUAGCUGCGGGAAACUGCAGGUAAUACCGAAUAAUGUCUCCGGACCAAAGGUUUGAUUCCACCUGGUGAGGGGCCUGCAUACUAUUAGCUUGUUGGUGGGGUAACGGCCUACCAAGGCGACGAUGGGUAGCGGGUGUGAGAGCAUGACCCGCGUCAUUGGGACUGAGACACUGCCCAGACACCUACGGGUGGCUGCAGUCGAGAAUCUUCGGCAAUGGGCGCAAGCCUGACCGAGCGACGCCGCGUGCGGGAUGAGGGCCUUGGGGUUGUAAACCGCUGUCGUAGAGGAGGAAAUGCAGGGGGGUUCUCCCCUUUGCUUGACCUAUUCUAGGAGGAAGUACGGGCUAAGUUCGUGCCAGCAGCCGCGGUAA